UACGGGGGGGGCAAGCGUUGUUCGGAAUUACUGGGCGUAAAGGGCUCGUCGGCGGCCAACUAAGUCAGACGUGAAAUCCCCAGGCUCAACCUGGGAACUGCGUCUGAUACUGGAUGGCUUGAAUUCGGGAGAGGGAUGCAGAAUUCCAGGUGUAGCGGUGAAAUGCGUAGAUAUCGAGAGGAACACCUGCGGCGAAGGCGGGUUGCUGGGCUGAUACUGACGCUGAGGCGCGAAAGCCAGGGGAGCGAACGGG
rnacentral:rRNA from 1 species